AUUGAACGCUGGCGGCAGGCCUAACACAUGCAAGUCGAACGGAAAAAGGAAGAGCUUUCUUCCUUUGCUGACGGGGGGGGGAGGGGUGGGAAAUGUCGGGGAACCGCCCCGAUGGAGGGGAUAACUUACGGGAACCGGUGCUUAUAACGGCUAAACUUCGCAAGCCCAAGGGGGGGGACUUAAGGGCCUCUUGCCUUUGACUUUGCCCGGAUGGGUUUAGCUAGUAGGUGGGGUAACGGCUCACCUAGGCGACGAUCCCUAGCUGGUCUGAGAGGAUGACCAGCCACACUGGAACUGAGACACGGUCCAGACUCCUACGGGAGGCAGCAGUGGGGAAUAUUGCACAAUGGGCGCAAGCCUGAUGCAGCCAUGCCGCGUGUAUGAAGAAGGCCUUCGGGUUGUAAAGUACUUUCAGCGGGGAGGAAGGGAGUAAAGUUAAUACCUUGGCUCAUUGACGUUACCCGCAGAAGAAGCACCGGCUAACUCCGUG
rnacentral:rRNA from 1 species